UACGUAGGGUGCAAGCGUUGUCCGGAAUUAUUGGGCGUAAAGAGCUCGUAGGCGGUCUGUUGCGUCGGCUGUGAAAACCCGGGGCUCAACCCCGGGCCUGCAGCCGAUACGGGCAGACUAGAGUUCGGCAGGGGAGACUGGAAUUCCUGGUGUAGCGGUGAAAUGCGCAGAUAUCAGGAGGAACACCGGUGGCGAAGGCGGGUCUCUGGGCCAUAACUGACGCUGAGGAGCGAAAGCGUGGGGAGCGAACAGG
rnacentral:rRNA from 1 species